rnacentral:rRNA from 1 species
AGAGUUUGAUCCUGGCUCAGGAUGAACGCUGGCGGCGUGCCUAAUACAUGCAAGUCGAGCGAACGGACGAGAAGCUUGCUUCUCUGAUGUUAGCGGCGGACGGGUGAGUAACACGUGGAUAACCUACCUAUAAGACUGGGAUAACUUCGGGAAACCGGAGCUAAUACCGGAUAAUAUUUUGAACCGCAUGGUUCAAAAGUGAAAGACGGUCUUGCUGUCACUUAUAGAUGGAUCCGCGCUGCAUUAGCUAGUUGGUAAGGUAACGGCUUACCAAGGCAACGAUGCAUAGCCGACCUGAGAGGGUGAUCGGCCACACUGGAACUGAGACACGGUCCAGACUCCUACGGGAGGCAGCAGUAGGGAAUCUUCCGCAAUGGGCGAAAGCCUGACGGAGCAACGCCGCGUGAGUGAUGAAGGUCUUCGGAUCGUAAAACUCUGUUAUUAGGGAAGAACAUAUGUGUAAGUAACUGUGCACAUCUUGACGGUACCUAAUCAGAAAGCCACGGCUAACUACGUGCCAGCAGCCGCGGUAAUACGUAGGUGGCAAGCGUUAUCCGGAAUUAUUGGGCGUAAAGCGCGCGUAGGCGGUUUUUUAAGUCUGAUGUGAAAGCCCACGGCUCAACCGUGGAGGGUCAUUGGAAACUGGAAAACUUGAGUGCAGAAGAGGAAAGUGGAAUUCCAUGUGUAGCGGUGAAAUGCGCAGAGAUAUGGAGGAACACCAGUGGCGAAGGCGACUUUCUGGUCUGUAACUGACGCUGAUGUGCGAAAGCGUGGGGAUCAAACAGGAUUAGAUACCCUGGUAGUCCACGCCGUAAACGAUGAGUGCUAAGUGUUAGGGGGUUUCCGCCCCUUAGUGCUGCAGCUAACGCAUUAAGCACUCCGCCUGGGGAGUACGACCGCCAGGUUGAAACUCAAAGGAAUUGACGGGGACCCGCACAAGCGGUGGAGCAUGUGGUUUAAUUCGAAGCAACGCGAAGAACCUUACCAAAUCUUGACAUCCUUUGACAACUCUAGAGAUAGAGCCUUCCCCUUCGGGGGACAAAGUGACAGGUGGUGCAUGGUUGUCGUCAGCUCGUGUCGUGAGAUGUUGGGUUAAGUCCCGCAACGAGCGCAACCCUUAAGCUUAGUUGCCAUCAUUAAGUUGGGCACUCUAAGUUGACUGCCGGUGACAAACCGGAGGAAGGUGGGGAUGACGUCAAAUCAUCAUGCCCCUUAUGAUUUGGGCUACACACGUGCUACAAUGGACAAUACAAAGGGCAGCGAAACCGCGAGGUCAAGCAAAUCCCAUAAAGUUGUUCUCAGUUCGGAUUGUAGUCUGCAACUCGACUACAUGAAGCUGGAAUCGCUAGUAAUCGUAGAUCAGCAUGCUACGGUGAAUACGUUCCCGGGUCUUGUACACACCGCCCGUCACACCACGAGAGUUUGUAACACCCGAAGCCGGUGGAGUAACCUUUUAGGAGCUAGCCGUCGAAGGUGGGACAAAUGAUUGGGGUGAAGUCGUAACAAGGUAGCCGUAUCGGAAGGUGCGGCUGGAUCACCU